AGCGGAGAGGCCCCGGGCCCCGAGCGGAGCGGAGCGGAGAGGCCCCGGGCGGAGCGGCGGGCCCGCUCCGGACAGCGCCCGCCGGUCCCGCCCCUCCCGCUUCGCCCAAGGCGCAAACCCAACCGUGGCAGGGGAGCUUUCACCGAAGCGGCCGCGUCAACAGAUACACAAGUAAGCACUGACUUCCUCUGUAGAAGAACCUCACGAAAAGCACCCAUUGAAAGAAAAUAAACUACCCGAAAGCACGCAUUGAAAGUAGCACUUCGGCCGAAGGAAGAGGUCUGCAGCACACGACUAGGGGGAAAGGAGCAGCCUUGCCGUCCUACACGCACCUCCAGCAGCGGCCCCCGCGCGGGGAGCGUGCGGGGCAGGGCCGGUCCCAGCGCCCGCUGCCCUCUCCCGGCGUGCACCGCCUCGCCGCGCACCUCGGACUCCAUUUCCAGGCCACGCCGCACCAAGUUCUCCGGGCGAGUUCUUCUGCCGGCCGCCUCGCCGGACUGAGUGAGGAGAAAAAGCGAUCGGCGAGGCGAGGCGGGAAGCCCAUGGAGAGCGGCGGGGCAGGCCGAGGGACGGCUGAGACGCUGCCGUGCGCGGCGGCAGCUGCUCCGCGGGAGCGGGACAGCCUGAGAGGAACGAGGAACGGCACCCGCCCGCAACGCCCCGGAGAGCGCCCGCCCGCCGCAAGCCGGAGACUUACCCUUGGUGAGCAUGUCCAGCACUCCCGACUUCUCCAAGUACUGGCGGAACUGCUCCCGCUUGGAGUCCGCGGCCUGAGGGAGGACGCCCACACGGUCAGAUCGGCGGCGCGCCCCGCCUCGACUGCGGAGGCGGCCCUUUAGCACAGGCCGGUCCCGCUCUCCGCCGCAGAGGCGGCACGAAGGGCCGAGCCGGUGUCUGUCGGCGGCCCGCCGCUCCGCGCAGCCGGCACGGAGAGCGGCACCGCGCCCACGCCGGCGCGCUCCCCCCUACCUUGUGGUGCGCCAUCUGACCCGCACGGCGCCUGCCCCGGCCGCGCGCCUGCGCCCUGCGCUUUAACGGCGAGAGCGCGUCCCCGCGGUUGCCACGGCGACGGCGCCGCGGCAACGGCAGCGGCCGGGGCCGGGCCCGCGCGCCGCCCGCGCUCCCCUCAGGGCGGCCGCGCCGCCUCGGGGCGGCCUCGCCGUCCCGCCGCCGCCCGAGGGGAAGCCGAGGCCCGGCGUUGUGCCCCCUCUUCUUGCGCGGCUCUGCCUCUUCUCCCGCUCUGCCCAGCUCUCCUCGCCGGGGACGGUUCCGGGGCUCAGCUCAGCCCCGCAGCUCUCCGCGGAGAAGGCGAGCGGGGCCGCGCCGCGGGGUUCGGGCGGAGCUGUCCUGCGGGUCGCUGGAAUUCUUUCUGGUUUACAUAGUAAGCCUUCGGGUUUGUGAAAUUCCAAGUGUCUGAUUAAUAAAUUUCAGUAGCUGCAGCUGACUGAAAUCAACCAGCAGCGGCUGCAGAGGUGCUGUGAGGCAUUGAAGAGUGGUGAAAUCUUCGCGUCGAAAGUCUUUUGCCUUAGCCUGUUUAAAAAAAAAAAAAAAAAAAAAGAAGAAGCUGUUACACCUGUUUAUUUUUCUGAAACGCUGACAGAUAAAAUCUAUUUAUUGUAGAAAUUAAAAAAAAAAUAUUAAAAAAAAAGACCAACCAAAUUAUCUUGCACAUAUGAUGUUAGGGAGUUUUCACGCUUUCUCUCCAUGCUCUUCCACAAUGUUUAUAUUUUUCAGUGGUUACUCUUCAUUUGGGAAGGUGCUGUGAUUAAACAAAAUGUCUGACUCAUAUCCAGACAUAAAAAAGUUAAUAAAAUUCCUCUCACUGCAGCAGAAAAAUUCAUUUCUAACUUGUCUUGAACAACAAAAAUACAAAUGUCAUGUCCCAUACAUGAACAUCUAAAUGCUAACUUUCUGUUAUUUAGUCAGCAGGAACAGAGUGCAUUAAAUACAAGGCUUUUUAUUAUGGAGAGAUUAAAUGCACAACAAGCAUUAGCAGUUAUUGCCCACAGGAUUUUACGCAUCAAGAAAUGCAAGAAUCAAAGCCACAGCAGCAGCAUGAACUUGCCUAAGUCACACUAUUACAGUUAUGUAUGUUCCAGGAUAUUAUACAACCUUAAAUUUUACAGCGUAAACACAAUUAUGUAUUUAUGUAUACACAUAGAAGUGAAAAGGAAAGAAACCUACAGCGAAUAGUUUUAAUAGUUCUCGUGUAUAUUUCUUUAAUGCUGCUACAAGCAAAAUAGCAGUUUAGGUUUUCUGGCUUCUUUUAUGCUAGUAUUGUACAGUUUUCAGGCAAUCUGAAACAUGGCUGGCUGUUAAGUAUAAUGACAGUGCACUUUAAGAAUUUCAUUGUGCUGUAACAUCAUUAUGUUAUAUCUCACAGAUUAGUUUUUUCAACAGAUGAACAGUAUGUCAGAUCUGCUAGUAAGAAAUACACACAAAAAUACUAAUGCAUUUCAGCUGUGACCACUUCACCAAGUAUUUACACUGUUUCAGUGCUGUGCACCUCAAAUGAAUGUAUUCCAUACAUUCAAAGCUUGAUUACAAAUGUACCAUAAUAUUUUGUUAAUCUUUGCCUCCUUUAUAAUUUCAAGGUGUUUCAUGGAGCUUCCUUUACACCAUAUGGACCUGAACAGCAAGUGGAUAAAUGUCCUAAUGUUUUGUUAUCCCCAUUAAAAGCAUAAACACAAAUGUUCCUCCUAAACAAGUAGAAGCUUUGCUUGAUUUAAAAGCUUAUCAGAAUUCAGGGGAGAGACAAACAGAAAAGGAGUAGUUUUACUGUUUGAUAAAUCUUUUACAUGUCUUUUGACAUUGUAACUCAAAUCAGGAAGGUACUACCAUAUUUGCUUUUUUUGGUUCUCUGUUUUUGGGGUUUUUUUUUGUUUUGUUUUCCAUAGUAAGCCUUCUGGUUUGUGAAAUUCAAAAUGUCUGAUUAGUAAAUUUCAGUAACUUGUUUUCUGAUUUUGCUGUCUUAUUAGUGUUAUGAAAAAUGUCAAAAGUAAAGCUCACAACAUGUCUGUAAUUCAUGAAGUUUAAAAAAAAAUAGUGGUGUAUUGAAUUCUGACAGUAUACUAAGAAAUUCACUUUGACUGUUGUGUUGAGGAAAUCAGUGGUGAUACACUGAAAAAAAGUACCAUGGAGCCAACAAAUUAGUGAUCUGUUUUGCAAAUGCUUUUUCUCUUUGUAUUUACAACAGCUUGAACAGUGGAAUAAGUUUGACAUUCUGCUUUUGGUCAGCUACCAAAUGUCUGUUUGAAUUCUCACACUGAUUAGGCAGAGACAUGUUUAACAAUAAAUCCUUCUGAGAGUA